CCAGCAGCUGCGGUAAUUCCAGCUCCAAUAGCGUAUAUUUAAGUUGCUGCAGUUAAAAAGCUCGUAGUUGGAUUUCGGGUGGGCCCUGCCGGUCCGCCGUUUCGGUGUGCACUUGCAGGUCCCACCUUGUUGCCGGGGACGUGUUCCUGGGCUUGACUGUCCGGGACACGGAGUCGGCGAGGUUACUUUGAGUAAAUUAGAGUGCUCAAAGCAGGCUAUUCCGCCUGAAUAUUCGUGCAUGGAAUAAUAGAAUAGGAUGUCGAUCCUAUUUUGUUGGUUUUCGGGACUCGACAUAAUGAUUAAUAGGGACAAUUGGGGGCAUUUGUAUUCAAACGACAGAGGUGAAAUUCUUGGACCGUUUGAAGACAAACUACUGCGAAAGCAUUUGCCAAGAAUGUUUUCAUUAAUCAAGAACGAAAGU
rnacentral:rRNA from 1 species